AGGGAAUCCGGUGCGAAUCCGGAACUGACGCGCAGCGGUGAGGGGGACGGGCGGGGCAGCAGCCACUGGACCACGGGCGUGGUCCGGGAAGGCGCCUCGUCCGGGUGAUCCCGAGUCCGAAGACCU
rnacentral:ncRNA from 1 species